CAGAAAAUAGUUUAACAAAAAUAUUAAUCUUGGGGAUUGAAGUUAUAAAUUUUAUUUUUUUGA
rnacentral:tRNA from 1 species